rnacentral:rRNA from 1 species
GGAGGAAAGCAGGGGAUCGCAAGACCUUGUGCUUUUGGAGCGGCCGAUGCCUGAUUAGCUAGUUGGUGGGGUAAAGGCCUACCAAGGCGUCGAUCAGUAGUUGGUCUGAGAGGACGACCAGCCACACUGGGACUGAGACACGGCCCAGACUCCUACGGGAGGCAGCAGUGGGGAAUUUUGGACAAUGGGCGCAAGCCUGAUCCAGCAAUGCCGCGUGAGUGAAGAAGGCCUUCGGGUUGUAAAGCUCUUUCAGUCGAGAAGAAAAGGUUGCGACUAAUAAUCGCAAUUCAUGACGGUACCGACAGAAGAAGCACCGGCUAACUACGUGCCAGCAGCCGCGGUAAUACGUAGGGUGCAAGCGUUAAUCGGAAUUACUGGGUGUAAAGGGUGCGCAGGCGGCUCUGUAAGUCAGAUGUGAAAUCCCCGGGCUUAACCUGGGAACUGCGUUUGAAACUACAAAGCUAG